rnacentral:rRNA from 1 species
AGUGAACGCUGGCGGUAGGCCUAACACAUGCAAGUCGAACGGCAGCACAGUAAGAGCUUGCUCUUACGGGUGGCGAGUGGCGGACGGGUGAGGAAUACAUCGGAAUCUACUUUUUCGUGGGGGAUAACGUAGGGAAACUUACGCAAUACCGCAUACGACCUACGGGUGAAAGUAGGGGAUCUUCGGACCUUGCGCGAUUGAAUGAGCCGAUGUCGGAUUAGCUAGUUGGCGGGGUAAAGGCCCACCAAGGCGACGAUCCGUAGCUGGUCUGAGAGGAUGAUCAGCCACACUGGAACUGAGACACGGUCCAGACUCCUACGGGAGGCAGCAGUGGGGAAUAUUGGACAAUGGGCGCAAGCCUGAUCCAGCCAUACCGCGUGGGUGAAGAAGGCCUUCGGGUUGUAAAGCCCUUUUGUUGGGAAAGAAAAGCAGCAGGUUAAUACCCCGCUGUUCUGACGGUACCCAAAGAAUAAGCACCGGCUAACUUCGUG